rnacentral:rRNA from 1 species
CAGCCUGCCCAGUGACAAAGUUCAACGGCCGCGGUACCCUAACCGUGCGAAGGUAGCAUAAUCACUUGUUCUUUAAAUGAGGACUUGUAUCAACGGCACUACGAGGGCUAUACUGUCUCCUUUUUCUAAUCAGUGAAACUGAUCUCCCCGUGAAGAAGCGGGGAUCAAGAUAUAAGACGAGAAGACCCCAUGGAGCUUUAAACUUACCACCCACCUCUGUGGUACCACACCAUUCAACACAAGAGACCUGCGUACUAGUUUUAGGUUGGGGGGACCACGGAGUAUAAUUAAACCUCCACAACAAAUGGGCUAAUACCCUUAUCCACGAGACACAACUCUAAGAAUUACUAAACUAAUGCUUAUGACCCGAUAUUCGAUCAAUGAACCAAGUUACCCUGGGGAUAACAGCGCAAUCUACUUCAAGAGCCCCUAUCGACAAGUAGGUUUACGACCUCGAUGUUGGAUCAGGGUAUCCCGGUGGUGCAGCCGCUACCGAUGGUUCGUUUGUUCAACGAUUAAAACCCUACGUGAUCUGA